GUUAUAUUAGCUCAAUUGGCAGAGCAUUCGUUUUGUAAUCGACAGAUUGAGGUUCGAUUCCUUAAUAUAACA
rnacentral:tRNA from 1 species